GUCCACUUUCUCUCAUUUUUCUUCUGAAAUGCACAAGCAGCACGGCAUCGUUUUCUCUCUUCUUCUCCAUCUUCUCUUCCCCCUCUACGCCCCCUACCCGUCUUUCCUUCAACACGUGCACACAAGCACACACGUUAGUUUUCUCUUAUUUAUUUAUUUUUUUUAAUCCCCAGGGGACUCACGGAACAGUCUGUGUGCAGCUGCUGUGUUUUCCGCUUGUUAAAUUGGCAGUUACCUACUGCGUAGAGUUGCUAGGAGAAGAUCUCAGAAACUGUAGGAAUUCUGAUGUGCUUCAGUGCAUGGAACAGUAACAGAUGAGCUGCUUUGGGGAGAGCUGGAGCGCUCAGUCGGAGUAUCAUCAUGGGGUCUACUGCUACAGAAACUGAAGAAGUGGAAAACACUACUUUUAAGUAUCUCAUAGGAGAACAGACUGAAAAAAUGUGGCAACGCCUGAAAGGAAUGUGAGUAAGCUCUUUGCUUGGUUCUGUGUUUUUAUCCACCUCUCUGAUAAAAAAUUUUGAGUAUUAACAUGUUGAAUUAUUGGC
rnacentral:lncRNA from 1 species